AUUGAACGCUGGCGGCAGGCCUAACACAUGCAAGUCGAGCGGUAGAGAGAAGCUUGCUUCUCUUGAGAGCGGCGGACGGGUGAGUAAUGCCUAGGAAUCUGCCUGGUAGUGGGGGAUAACGUUCGGAAACGGACGCUAAUACCGCAUACGUCCUACGGGAGAAAGCAGGGGACCUUCGGGCAUUGCGCUAUCAGAUGAGCCUAGGUCGGAUUAGCUAGUUGGUGGGGUAAUGGCUCACCAAGGCGACGAUCCGUAACUGGUCUGAGAGGAUGAUCAGUCACACUGGAACUGAGACACGGUCCAGACUCCUACGGGAGGCAGCAGUGGGGAAUAUUGGACAAUGGGCGAAAGCCUGAUCCAGCCAUGCCGCGUGUGUGAAGAAGGUCUUCGGAUUGUAAAGCACUUUAAGUUGGGAGGAAGGACAGUAAAUUAAUACUUUGCUGUUCUGACGUUACCGACAGAAUAAGCACCGGCUAACUCUGUGCCAGCCGCCGCCGUAA
rnacentral:rRNA from 1 species